AUCACUUCUCGGCCUUUUGGCUAAGAUCAAGUGUAGAUUCCUCAUUCCAUAGUAUUGUUAUGGCUUCUGUGAAAUGUGUCUUGAGUGCCAUCGGUGUAGGUUUUAAAUUCUAUAUGCUACCCAGUGACACCCAGAUUGGAUUUUCCAGAACAGUCCUUUGUUGAGAUGAGCUA
rnacentral:snRNA from 1 species